UAGCCGUAAACGAUACUCGCUAGGUGUCGGCCACGGUGCGACCGUUGUCGGUGCCGUAGGGAAGCCGUGAAGCGAGCCACCUGGGAAGUACGGCCGCAAGGCUGAAACUUAAAGGAAUUGGCGGGGGAGCACCACAACGGGUGGAGCUUGCGGUUAAUUGGAUUCAACGCCGGACAACUCACCAGGAGCGACGGUUACAUGAAGGCCAGGCUGAUGACCUUGCCUGAUUUUCCGAGAGGAGGUGCAUGGCGUAGUCGUGU
rnacentral:rRNA from 1 species